AUGGAGGCAGAGGCUCUCGCGUCUCCUCCAAGCCUGCACCAUCCUAGGGGCUCCCCGUCCACCGCCACCACCAGCACCCUCCAGUUUCCCGGAGCAAAAGAGGUCUGGCUUUCUGCGAUUCCGCUCCCUGAGCUAGCGGUUCAAGCUGCGGGGGGGGGGGGGGGGGGGGCGGGGAUGGAUAGCGGGAGCACUGGAAAGCGAGCCCGCGCUCACCUCCGCCCUCCGCGCGGAGAGCUGGCCAGCCUCGCUCGCCCCCGGAGCACUAGCAGGCGGCCACGGCCGGGCAGCCGGACCCCGGGGCGCCCCAACUCCAGUGAGAGCAGGGAGGGGAGUGACAAGAGCCGCCACUUGGCGCGUUGGCAGAGGCACGGAAUCUCCGAAGAGGCUGAGCCGCCGGCGCGCAGGGGUGGAGGCGCGAGGGGCGGAGGAGGAGUUGCCGGGCCGAGAGGGAUGACGUCCUCCAGCGCCUUGGGCUCCGGGGACCGAAGAUUCCUGCUCUCGACCGGCCCCACGCGCGCUCUCCAGGGCUUCGCAGAGGCGCCGCGCCCGGCUCCGCUGCGGCUCCCGAACGGCGCGCGCCCGGGCGACCCCCGCCGGCUUGAACCGGGGUGCACAGCCCUCCGGCCAUCUCAGCGCACCUCUUCGCCUGUCCCUCGCCUCGGGGGGCCCGCCCAAGAGUCCCUGCCGAUUCGAGGCGGCACGCGGAAGGCAGCCCCCGGCCGGGCCAGCCUCGCCCCUUCCUCGCGCUCUCCCCCAUCGACCUCGAGCCAAGGGCAGGCGCCCGCGCCCCGGCCCCGGCCCCGGCCCCGGCCCCUGCCCACCCGGCGAGCCGCUGUCCCGGCCUGCGCGCGGCUGCGAAAAGGCUCGGGGCACAGGAAAGGAGAGGCGCUCACCUGGGUCGCCCGAAGCCUUCCUCUCCAGCCCCUUCCGGAGCCCGCCCGCAGCGCCCAGGCACAACCUUCCUCGAAGAAAAAAAGUAGCGCAAGGGCGCAAGACGGGUAG
rnacentral:lncRNA from 12 species